rnacentral:rRNA from 1 species
CAGUCGCCGCGGUAAUACGUAGGUCCCGAGCGUUGUCCGGAUUUAUUGGGCGUAAAGCGAGCGCAGGCGGUUAGAUAAGUCUGAAGUUAAAGGCUGUGGCUUAACCAUAGUACGCUUUGGAAACUGUUUAACUUGAGUGCAAGAGGGGAGAGUGGAAUUCCAUGUGUAGCGGUGAAAUGCGUAGAUAUAUGGAGGAACACCGGUGGCGAAAGCGGCUCUCUGGCUUGUAACUGACGCUGAGGAGCGAAAGCGUGGGGAGCGAACAGGAUUAGAUACCCCGGUAGUCCCUGUCUCUUAUACA